CCUGGCCCCCAGCCACCCGCACCCCGCUGUCGUGGGCAUCAACGCUUUCAGCAGCCCUCUGGCUAUCGCCGUCGGGGAUGCCACACCGGAGCCGGGCUAUGCCCGUAGCUGCGGCAGCGCGUCUCCCCGGUUCGCGCCCAGCCCUGGCUCUCAACAAAGCAGCUAUGGCAGUGGUCUUGGAGCCGGCCUCGGUAGCUAUGGAGCGCCCGGUGUGACUGGCCUUGGCGUGCCCGGGUCCCCUAGCUUCCUCAAUGGCUCCACUGCAACCUCACCUUUCGCCAAGAAGCGCCUUCGCCCCUGUGCUGCGCCCACCCAGCUCCCCAUCGCAGGCCUGCCCCAGAGCCCACAGAGAGGGGCUUCCAGACCAGCCUUUUGAAGAUACUGACAAGUUCCACUCUGCAGCUCGGGGACUCCAGGGCCUGGCAUACUCCUAAUCAUGGUGCUGUCCCCAGUGAGUCUGGACUGGAGGUCUUUCUGGUUUCACGUUCAUGGCUGGAUGGCAGCACAAAGAGAUAUAGGGUCAGGACUUUGAGUGGACCUCAAUCCCUGGGAUGCACAGGGAGAGGCCUUCACCUCUGUGCUGGAGGCCCCCUCAUACCUAAAGACCUUCAUGUUUACCUCUCUUUCUUGGGGCACAUAAGAAGCCCAGCACUGUGAGGACGCUCUUGGCAGAAGGGCAUCAUAGGGAGGUGUUGGGAUGUUGGGCCUUACUAUUGGUAAGAUGAGCAAGAAUCGGGAAUGGUGAGAAAGAGGACAGCUCAGGGAGAGGUCAUCAGGAGAGGCCCUGUUUGCAUCUGACCAAUCACACCUGACCUAGUAGCCACCUUCUCUCUUGUGAGCAAGGUGUCUAGCAGUCUCAG
rnacentral:lncRNA from 1 species